rnacentral:rRNA from 1 species
GACGUAGGAGGCGAGCGUUGUCCGGAUUUAUUGGGCGUAAAGAGCUCGUAGGCGGCCUGUCGCGUCGGAUGUGAAAGCCCGGGGCUCAACCCCGGGUCUGCAUUCGAUACGGGCAGGCUAGAGUUCGGUAGGGGAGAUCGGAAUUCCUGGUGUAGCGGUGAAAUGCGCAGAUAUCAGGAGGAACACCAGUGGCGAAGGCGAGUCCCUGGACAACUCCUGACACUGAGGCGCGAAAGCUAGGGUAGCAAACAGG